rnacentral:rRNA from 1 species
CAGGCUUAACACAUGCAAGUCGAGGGGCAGCAUGGUCUUAGCUUGCUAAGGCCGAUGGCGACCGGCGCACGGGUGAGUAACACGUAUCCAACCUGCCGUCUACUCUUGGACAGCCUUCUGAAAGGAAGAUUAAUACAAGAUGGCAUCAUGAGUCCGCAUGUUCACAUGAUUAAAGGUAUUCCGGUAGACGAUGGGGAUGCGUUCCAUUAGAUAGUAGGCGGGGUAACGGCCCACCUAGUCUUCGAUGGAUAGGGGUUCUGAGAGGAAGGUCCCCCACAUUGGAACUGAGACACGGUCCAAACUCCUACGGGAGGCAGCAGUGAGGAAUAUUGGUCAAUGGGCGAGAGCCUGAACCAGCCAAGUAGCGUGAAGGAUGACUGCCCUAUGGGUUGUAAACUUCUUUUAUAAAGGAAUAAAGUCGGGUAUGGAUACCCGUUUGCAUGUACUUUAUGAAUAAGGAUCGGCUAACUCCGUGCCAGCAGCCGCGUAAUACGGGAGGAUCCGAGCGUUAUCCGGAUUUAUGGGUUUAAAGGGAGCGUAGAUGGAUGUUUAAGUCAGUUGUGAAAGUUGCGGGCUCAACCGUAAAAAUUGCAGUUGAUACUGGAUAUCUGNAGUGCAGUGNAGGCAGGCGGAAUUCGUGGUGUAGCGGUGAAAUGCUUAGAUAUCACGAAGAACUCCGAUUGCGAAGGCAGCCUGCUAAGCUGCAACUGACAUUGAGGCUCGAAAGUGUGGGUAUCAAACAGGAUUAGAUACCCUGGUAGUCCACACGGUAAACGAUGAAUACUCGCUGUUUGCGAUAUACUGCAAGCGGCCAAGCGAAAGCGUUAAGUAUUCCACCUGGGGAGUACGCCGGCAACGGUGAAACUCAAAGGAAUUGACGGGGGCCCGCACAAGCGGAGGAACAUGUGGUUUAAUUCGAUGAUACGCGAGGAACCUUACCCGGGCUUAAAUUGCAGAUGAAUUACGGUGAAAGCCGUAAGCCGCAAGGCAUCUGUGAAGGUGCUGCAUGGUUGUCGUCAGCUCGUGCCGUGAGGUGUCGGCUUAAGUGCCAUAACGAGCGCAACCCUUGUUGUCAGUUACUAACAGGUUCCGCUGAGGACUCUGACAAGACUGCCAUCGUAAGAUGUGAGGAAGGUGGGGAUGACGUCAAAUCAGCACGGCCCUUACGUCCGGGGCUACACACGUGUUACAAUGGGGGGUACAGAGGGCCGCUACCACGCGAGUGGAUGCCAAUCCCCAAAACCUCUCUCAGUUCGGACUGGAGUCUGCAACCCGACUCCACGAAGCUGGAUUCGCUAGUAAUCGCGCAUCAGCCACGGCGCGGUGAAUACGUUCCCGGGCCUUGUACACACCGCCCGUCAAGCCAUGGGAGCCGGGGGUACCUGAAGUGCGUAACCGCGAGGAGCGCCCUAGGGUAAAACUGGUGACUGGGGCUAAGU